CAUGCAAGAAAUAAUGGAUGCUGUUAACAAUAGUGGAAAAUUUGACACGAAGUUUGGAGGCUUUACUGGUACUGACGGUCCAUUGGGGAAGAGAAUGGAGAAUUCAAAAACUCGGGCUGAGAUCGGUUGGGAACCAAAGUAUCCAAGCUUCACCAAAAUCCUUGAUAUUAGCAGUUAACAUCCUUGCAUACUGUUCAGUUAGUCUGACUCAGCUGAGUUGCAACCGUGAUUAGAUUGUACAUCGUUUGAAUUUUUAUAUGGUCUGAAUUGGUGAUGGUGUACAUCUCAGCCUAAUUUUUUA